UUACGUCUUCUAUUGUAUUCUCUACUCAGUUGUGAUGACACAGACAAGAUUAGCAUUCUGAACAAGGAUGACAUGCAAAUGUGUGAAGUGUUCCAUAUUUAA
rnacentral:snRNA from 1 species